CUGAAAGUGGUUAAUGCCUCAGUUCCUAGAGUUCCUGCCAUUGCCACACACUCUACCCCUAGCACUGUGUGGGGCACAUGGACAGCACAUGGGGAACCUGUGAUUGGGUCUCUGCUCUCCAGGAAUGUCUAGCACGCAGGCAACAUCACAAAGGAGGGCAGGACUGGCUGUGGGGUGCAGUGGACUGCAAAGGGGGAGAUAGGACAGAGGCUUUUAGCAACUAGGGGAAGUUUCACGAGGAGGAGGGGCUGACACCUGAAGCAGAGAUGAGAGUCCAACAGGCAGCAGGUGGGCGGGGAUCUGUGUCUGCAGAAGUUCAGCGGUGAAGGCUACACCAGGAAAUCUCAAGAGACAGAAAAGAUCAACUACACUGGAGCUGGGGGGACGUGAAGGAGAAAAAAGCAAACAGGGGCUGAGCAGCUGCUCCUUCCAUUCAUGGAUCAUUGAGGUCUCUGGCUGCCCUGUGUGGUUCUUUCCUUGACAUCACUUGGAUCCCUUCAUAGCUCACCAGGUCUUACUUGGAGCCAGCUAUUUGAAGCCUGGCAAGAAGAGUCUUCGUAGUCUGACUCAUGAGGCACAUUUUCUUUAUUGUCAUCACAUUCAAUCACAACAGUUGGCACUUGUCUUAUUUCUGGAAGGCCCAUAGGUCCUGCUUUGGUGACCCCAUCACCCGAGUGCAACCCAGAGCUGUGAUUAACUGGAAGUGGAAUUUAUAUCUUUCAUUUAAGGAAUUUCUAAAUACAGGAAACUCAAUGCAUUUUACCAUCCAAAAGUGUUUGACAUGCCUAAGGAAAUGGAGCAUGAGGUUAUAUUAUAUAUCAGGAGGCAUCUAGUGGUGUGCUGCAGGGAUGUGGUGCUCUGGACUUGGUUAGCAUCUUUAUCAAUGGCAAUGACAAAAAGGGCAUCCUCAAUGAAUAACUGAAAGAGUUGAAGGAGAGAAGGAAAGAAGGGAGAGUGAAUAGAGAGAACAUUUACUAAAUGUGUAAUUUUCACACACAGUGUUGCAUUUCACCUUUCCAGCAACCGUAUGGGACAGGUGCUGUUCUCCCCAUUUUAUGAAGCAGGAAAUUGAAGCUCUGAAAGGGUAAUGAAUAGGCCCACAAGGACACAGUUGGUAAAGGAAGGGCUUGAAAUUUGAACCUACUGUAUUACAAAUUCUGCAUGCAAAAGUUGAACUGUGAUACUUAUGAGAUGUGUCCUUUGAUAAAACACACACCUGACUAAAUGUACCCAGGCAAGAUGGAGGAAAUAUCAUACCUUGUCAACAACGUGUGUAAAAAAUGGGCAUCAUUAUUUAUAACUAUUUUAAGUCCUACUAACUAGGGUAGGUAAUAGUAUUCUACCCUGCCAUGACCAGGCCACUCCUGGGGCACUGAGUUUAAUACUCAGGGCGUUCAGGAGACCCAUCUAUUCACCGAUUCACCUUGGCUGCUUUUGCACCAAAAUAGAAGAGUGGAGUAGUUGCAAUAGAGCUGAAAAUAUUUACUAUCUAUCUGGUUCCUUAAAGAAAAAAUUUUCUGUGCCCUGAUCUGAACCAGUGUUUUCUAAACCUUGAUUAUACUCCCACCUCCUUAAUCUUUUUUGUGUAUGGCAUCUUUGAAGUCCAUUUACACUAUUAUUUACUUUGUAAUUUUUUAAGUCAGUACGGUAUUUUUUAAAAAUUUAAACACUAUUGUAACCUCAUCCUAAGCAAAUGAUAUCUUUGUAAUAACAGGUUUUGUAUGUAAAUCAUAUAGGUUUAUAACAUGUUAAGAUAUAUUUUUAUAUUUGUAAUACAUAUAUUUUCAAUAUUGAUAUAUGCAUAAGUACAUACAAUAUUCAAUAAAAUAUUAAAACUAAUAAA
rnacentral:lncRNA from 1 species